CUCAGCCUUAACGCAAGUCCGCAGUCUUCAAGUGUGAGAGAAGCUAGUGUUUCAAAUCUCCAGGCUCCUGGGUGCGGCGCGUACACUUUGUGAAGAGUGAUAGUCUGCAAGCACGCCCUGAAGGUGUAUCAGUGAUUGGCAUGUCUAGGUGGCUAGCUCAGUGCUUGUUUUUACUUCUUUCUCUCACGCUGUUUGAUCUGCAAAAGUUCUCCAGAACCCCGAGAGCCCGCAGUGGCCUGUGGCUCCAGAAUCCGAAGACCACCUAUCUACAUUGAUCAGCACCCUAAUCCCAGGUGGAGAAAGGGUACCUCGUGCGUGUACAAGGCUGGGAAACAGAACUUCAGGCGCCGUGGGGAUCACCUCCCGGGCCGCGUCUGGCCGGCGGUAAGCCGCCAGAGCUAUAAGGGUUGGAGGAGACUCGGGAGAAGGAGCUUGUUUGCACCGCAGUUCAGCGGGAUGUGGAUGCAGCAGGAGCGCCCAGAAGCUGUUGGGGGGGAACUUUGAUUUACUUCCCACUCCUAUCCCACCCCCUUAGGCAGGCUGGAUAGGGCCCUACGUCCUGGCAAGAGUGGAAUUCUGUUCCUCUAGGCCUGUUUGCAGAGGUUGUGUGGGCCACCGCGUUUCGCCGGUUAAUUCUGACAAAGCUGGACGUCCACUUAGUGACCUCCGGCCUGCGCCCACCUCCAGCGGCCAUGGUCUUUAGCCAGCCGGAGCUCCAUGUUUCUCUGGCCGAGGUUUAUAGGAGCCUUCAACACCUCCAUCCAGCUCCUUGUGCCGCUAGAGAAAUGCCUGCAAACGCCGUGCUAGGAAGCCGCGGACGCAGCAGCUUCUCAGCAAGUCGGCUUGGCGCUCCGACAUCUAGACUGCAGGCGUGAGCAAGUCGCUGGUCCCCGAUGAAGACGUUUCUCUCCCGGGCUGGGCUUCCGGCAGCUGCCGCAGAAGUACUGCGGCCGGUCGUGCGAGGCAGGCUGCGUUUUCCCAGCACCAUUCAGGUCGGACGCACAGCCACCCGGCCAGCUCCUCGGGUCCCCUUUCUUAUCAGUCCGAACAGUCCCGGCUUCCCGUUCCUGCGCCAGGAGAGAAGAACCCAGGAGGCUGAAGCUCUCUUAGACACAAGCUGCCUCUGCAGCUCAUUGGAAAGAGGGCUUCGGUGGGGCUUUCCCCUCCCUAUCCAACUCCACACGUAACAACCGACCUCCAGCCUCACACCCACAUCUGAGGCAUCUACAUAACUCCGAUACACUCACACUGACCCCUGUCCACCUCUCUCCAUCAACUCCAAAUCCUCUCUGCCGCACUACUCCCCCCAAACUCACCUGAUGCACAUACUAGUUCAGAUUCUGCACUUUUUGGUAGAAAUGUAUUAAAUCGGCUUUUGGACACCAAGCCCUUCCUUACAUUCUCAGCAAGCCCUCCCAUCUCAUGGCUUCCUAGUCGGUGCGAGGGGGAUUCCACUUCGUGAAAACCUGCCAGAUCGUGGGUUUGGAAACUUAAUGGUGUUUUCAGGACAUUUGCAGAAUAGGCCAGGGGCCCCUUUGUUUCUGGAUACCACAAAGAAGAUGCCCUCUCUAGGCCUGGCCUGAGCAUGUCUCUCCAGCGUUUGUCCAGGGAUGGUCACGUGUUCUAGAACGAGGCGAAGGCUUGAAGAUGAACGGAGCAGCUGAGCUGGUUUGUCUUCACUGUCACCGUGAUUGGAUUUGGAAUCACCUAGGAAACACACCUGCGAGCAAGUCUGUGCAGGAGUUUCCAUCCCAGGGACUGGAGCCCUGGAGUGAGUAAGAAGAAAAUGAGCGGAGGAGCAGCAGCGUUUAGCUCAUAGCUUCCUGACUGUGGAUACAAUGUGACCAUCUGCCUCAAGCUUUUACUGUCCUGCCCUCCCACCUCCAUGGCCUGUGAACCCAAAGCGUCUUUUGUCAGACACACAAAAAAAGUUCUUUUAAGAA